CAGUAGCCGCGGGAAUACGUAGGUGGCAAGCGUUGUCCGGAAUUAUUGGGCGUAAAGGGCUCGCAGGCGGUUUCUUAAGUCUGAUGUGAAAGCCCCCGGCUCGACCGGGGAGGGUCAUUGGAAACUGGGAAACUUGAGUGCAGAAGAGGAGAGUGGAAUUCCACGUGUAGCGGUGAAAUGCGUAGAGAUGUGGAGGAACACCAGUGGCGAAGGCGACUCUCUGGUCUGUAACUGACGCUGAGGAGCGAAAGCGUGGGGAGCGAACAGGAUUAGAGACCCCUGUAGUCCCUGUCUCUUAUAA
rnacentral:rRNA from 1 species